GCAUGUGAUUCCUUCGGGAAUUAAAGCUUCGGCGGUUUGGGAAAUGGCCUGCGUCCGAUUAGCUUGUUGGUGAGGUAAAAGCUCACCAAGGGCGACGAUCGGUAGCUGGUCUGAGAGGAUGAUCAGCCUGACUGGAACUGAGAACGGUCCAGACUCCUACGGGAGGCAGCAGUAGGGAAUUUUCCACAAUGGGCGAAAGCCUGAUGGAGCAACGCCGCGUGCAGGAUGAAUGCCUUCGGGUUGUAAACUGCUUUUAUUAGUGAAGAAUAUGACGGUAACUAAUGAAUAAGGGUCGGCUAACUACGUG
rnacentral:rRNA from 1 species